rnacentral:rRNA from 1 species
UUGGAGGGCAAGUCUGGUGCCAGCAGCCGCGGUAAUUCCAGCUCCAAUAGCGUAUAUUAAAGUUGUUGCAGUUAAAAAGCUCGUAGUUGAAUUUCGGGAUCAAUUUAUUGGUCGUGCCAACGGUACGCACUGGUACAAUUGGUUACUCCCUUCUGACGAAGCAUGAUGUCAUUAAUUUGAUGUCGUGGGGAAUCAGGACUGUUACUUUGAAAAAAUUAGAGUGUUUAAAGCAGGC